GUCAAAUUCUCGCUUCGAAUUUGGUUUAUGUGUUGUCCCUUCUGAUGCUAUUUAUGUGCUGUUCCUUAUGUCUGAUCCUCACUCCAAACAAACAACAAUUGAAGCCUCUCUCUCAUUUACACCUCACUCUUCUCAAUCUCUGCACGAAUGACACAAUUGAACCCUAAAACGACAAUGGCGCGGGGACAGUGCCGUUGCUGCGUUUGGUGACUGAUGAUGCUGCGCGUCGUCGUCGUGGACGGAGGUCGCAUGGGGUGGAAUGCGGCCGUGUGCAUUGUGAUCAAUGAAUCAUAAUGAGGAAAGAGGAUUGUUUGAUUUUGUGAUUGAAAUCGAAAGAGAAAGAAAGAGAGAAAUUUGUUGUGAUGGCUGAAUUAGUGGCCCGAACAGGUCGACAUCAGCAGCGAUACGAACACGGUUAUCGCCUUAUUGCCGGGUGUGUUCCAUUUAGGUAUAAAGAUGACUGUGGAGACUCUUGUUCCGAGAAGAUUGUUGAAGUGCUUAUGAUUAAUUCAACUAGUAUCGGGUCUUUUGUUUCCAAAGGGAAGAGAGAUUCAUUGGAUCACACAAACACAUAGAAUAAAGCUGCUGCUCUUGGUUUCCAAACUUGUUUUUUUUGCGGGAUUUGCACCUUGCAACGAAGACUUUUGGCUCCUUAUCAUUUUUUUUUCUCAGUGUCAGAUUUCAGAGAAUAUAAAGUGACAACUCUCCUUUUUCUGAAUAUUUCAAUUUAUAGCAUGCACUUAUGGCUUUUAAGCAUGCCACAACUAACUCUCAAUUCUGCUCUGACCACUACCUCAGUACUUCUGUUUAGGACUUCUUUGCCCAUCAUCACCACACUAGACUGUUUUGGUUGAAAAAUGGUUUCAGCACUUUUCAGUGUAACAUAUCCAUAUGAUAUGACAAAUGCAUAGCUGACAUCCAUGAUUUCUAGACCAAUUGAGGCUAUAUUCAGUUUAUUUUAUUCUUUGAUCUCUUGUAAUUUAAUUUUAUAGUUUUAUCCAACAUUUUUUUCCAAU